CCGAUGGCGAAGGCAGCCAUCUGGCCUAAUACUGACGCUGAGGUACGAAAGCAUGGGGAGCAAACAGGAUUAGAUACCCUGGUAGUCCAUGCCGUAAACGAUGUCUACUAGCCGUUGGGGCCUUUGAGGCUUUAGUGGCGCAGCUAACGCGAUAAGUAGACCGCCUGGGGAGUACGGUCGCAAGACUAAAACUCAAAUGAAUUGACGGGGGCCCGCACAAGCGGUGGAGCAUGUGGUUUAAUUCGAUGCAACGCGAAGAACCUUACCUGGUCUUGACAUAGUAAGAACUUUCCAGAGAUGGAUUGGUGCCUUCGGGAACUUACAUACAGGUGCUGCAUGGCUGUCGUCAGCUCGUGUCGUGAGAUGUUGGGUUAAGUCCCGCAACGAGCGCAACCCUUUUCCUUAUUUGCCAGCGGGUUAAGCCGGGAACUUUAAGGAUACUGCCAGUGACAAACUGGAGGAAGGCGGGGACGACGUCAAGUCAUCAUGGCCCUUACGACCAGGGCUACACACGUGCUACAAUGGUCGGUACAAAGGGUUGCUACCUAGCGAUAGGAUGCUAAUCUCAAAAAGCCGAUCGUAGUCCGGAUUGGAGUCUGCAACUCGACUCCAUGAAGUCGGAAUCGCUAGUAAUC
rnacentral:rRNA from 1 species